rnacentral:rRNA from 1 species
AUUGAACGCUGGCGGCAGGCUUAACACAUGCAAGUCGAGCGGGGUGAUGGUGCUUUCACUAUCACUUAGCGGCGGACGGGUGAGUAAUGCUUAGGAAUCUGCCUAUUAGUGGGGGACAACAUCUCGAAAGGGAUGCUAAUACCGCAUACGUCCUACGGGAGAAAGCAGGGGAUCACUUGUGACCUUGCGCUACUAGAUGAGCCUAAGUCGGAUUAGCUAGUUGGUGGGGUAAAGGCCUACCAAGGCGACGAUCUGUAGCGGGUCUGAGAGGAUGAUCAGGCACACUGGGCCUGAGACACGGCCCAGACGCCUACGGGAGGCAGCAGUGGGGAAUAUUGGACAAUGGGGGGAACCCUGAUCCAGCCAUGCCGCGUGUGUGAAGAAGGCCUUAUGGUUGUAAAGCACUUUAAGCGAGGAGGAGGCUCUUUUGGUUAAUACCCAAGAUGAGUGGACGUUACUCGCAGAAUAAGCACCGGCUAACUCUGUGCCAGCCGCCGCGGUAA